AUUGAACGCUGGCGGCAGGCCUAACACAUGCAAGUCGAGCUAGCGGCGGACGGGUGAGUAAUGUAUGGGGACUGCCCGAUAGAGGGGGAUAACUACUGGAAACGGUGGCUAAUACCGCAUACUGUAGGAUAACCCAUAUGGGAUUAGCUAGUAGGUAAGGUAAUGGCUUACCUAGGCGACGAUCCCUAGCUGGUCUGAGAGGAUGAUCAGACACACUGGGACUGAGACACGGACCAGACUCCUACGGAGGCAGCAGGGGGGAAUAUUGCACAAUGGGCGCAAGCCUGAUGCAGACAUGCCGCGUGUAUGAAGAAGGCCCUAGGGUUGUAAAGUACUUUCAGUCGGGAGGCGUUACCAACAGAAGAAGCACCGGCUAACUCCGUGCCAGCAGACGCGGUAAUAC
rnacentral:rRNA from 1 species